AAGAUUAAGCCAUGCAUGUCUCAGUGCAAGCCAAAUUAAGGUGAAACCGCGAAAGGCUCAUUAAAUCAGCUAUAAUUUAAUUGGUGGUACAAUCACGGUUACUUGGAUAACUGUGGCAAUUCUAGAGCUAAUACAUGCAAAACGAGUUCCGACCGGCGGAACGAAUGCUUUUAUUAGAACAAAACCAAUCGAAUCUGAAUAACUUUAAGCUGAUCGCACGGUCAAGCACCGGCGACGCAUCUUUCAAAUGUCUGACUUAUCAACUUUCGAUGGUAGACUACGCGCCUACCAUGGUGAUAACGGGUGACGGGGAAUCAGGGUUCGAUUCCGGAGAGGGAGCCUGAGAAACGGCUACCACAUCCAAGGAAGGCAGCAGGCGCGCAAAUUACCCACUCCCGGCACGGGGAGGUAGUGACGAAAAAUAACGAUGCAGGACUCUUAACGAGGCUCUGCAAUCGGAAUGAGCACACUCUAAAUCAUUUAACGAGUAUCCAUUGGAGG
rnacentral:rRNA from 1 species